UUUUAUGUUGAUUUUACAGAACUGCGUUCCAGAACAUAUACGAUAUGCUUAGGGACCAAGGAAGUUGUUUCGCGAUUGUCACAGGAAAAGAAUCAUUAUUCGAUGCAUACAGGACCCUUGCUAAAGCCGAAAAAUGGAAACCAUGGGUUUUUGACGUUGAAAGAUAUAUAUCUCCAUACCAUGACAGUCAAGAUUCCCUUAAAGAAAUGCAACAAUUAUUAGACAAAAUUGGAUUUACUAUAACAAAAUUAGAACUCAAGAUGAUAUUUCACGAGUACGAAAAUUUUGAGAAAUUGAAAGGUGGAAUAAUGUCUGUGGUGCCUUUCAAGAUCCCGGAUGAGUUACGUGACGAUUUUUUUAAAGACUUAAGCCUAGAAAUGCAGAUGGUUGACACUAAAACGUACAAUUACAAAAAAUCAAGCAACGAUUUUUUCUUUAAUGUGCAAAUACUCGUUUUAUAUGUUGAAAAAAAGUAAUAAUAUCUGGAUUCGAUUUUUUAGGAUUAUUAAUUGUUCUGAAAUUGAAAUAUAAAAUACAAUGAAUGAAAU